UAUAAUCCCGUAUGUCAUUCCCUUUGUCCUUCGGUAUGUUACUUGCCCGAGAUUCGAUCGUCAGUAUCCGCAUACCUAUUUCAAUCUCGUUUACAGGCAAGUCUCUUUACUCGUUUCGUAAUAGAAGAUCCCGCAACUUACACUAAGUCACAUUGCUUGCAAGGCUUGUGUGUGAUGUUGUAUUACCGAGUGGGCCCCGAGAUACCUCUCCGUCACACGGAGUGACAAAUCCCAGUCUCGAUCCAUACUAACUCAACGAACACCUUCGAAGAUACCUGUAGAGCAUCUUUAUAGUCACCCAGUUACGUUGCGACAUUUGAUACACACAAAGUAUUCCUCCGGUGUCAGUGAGUUAUAUGAUCUCAUGGUCAUAGGAACAAAUACUU
rnacentral:lncRNA from 1 species